rnacentral:rRNA from 1 species
UACGGGAGGCAGCAGUGGGGAAUUUUCCGCAAUGGGCGAAAGCCUGACGGAGCAAUACCGCGUGAGGGAGGAAGGCUCUUGGGUUGUAAACCUCUUUUCUCAGGGAAGAAGCUCUGACGGUACCUGAGGAAUCAGCAUCGGCUAACUCCGUGCCAGCAGCCGCGGUAAUACNGGAGGAUGCAAGCGUUAUCCGGAAUGAUUGGGCGUAAAGCGUCCGCAGGUGGCGAUUCAAGUMUGCUGUCAAAGGUCGGGGCUCAACCCUGAACAGGCGGUGGAAACUGAACAGCUAGAGUGCGGUAGGGGUAGAGGGAAUUCCCGGUGUAGCGGUGAAAUGCGUASAGAUCGGGAAGAACACCAGUGGCGAAAGCGCUCUACUAGGCCUGCACUGACACUCAGGGACGAAAGCUAGGGGAGCGAAUGGGAUUAKAUACCCCASUAGUCCUARCCCGUAAACKAUCGGAUACUASGCGUGGYUUGUMUCNGACCCCGAGCCGYGCCSGAGCUAACSCSUUAAGYMUYCCGCCUCGGGGAGUACGCGUCSCAAGCSYGAAACUCCAAMAAAAUUSAYGG